CUGCCUUUCCAGCGAAGCGGGAGGAGGGACAGAAGGGAGCCCUUACGGAGCCCCUUCCGUCCCUCAUCCUGCUUCACUGGGAAGCCAG